rnacentral:rRNA from 1 species
GAUGAACGCUAGCGGGAGGCCUAACACAUGCAAGCCGAGCGGUAUAGAAUCUUCGGAUUUUAGAGAGCGGCGUACGGUGCGGAACACGUGUGCAACCUACCUUUAUCUGGAGGAUAGCCUUUCGAAGAAAGAUUAAUACUCCAUAAUAUAUUGAUUGGCAUUAAUUAAUAUUGAAAGCUCUGGCGGAUAGAGAUGGGCACGCGCAAGAUUAGUUAGUUGGUGAGGUAACGGCUCACCAAGACGAUGAUCUUUAGGGGGCCUGAGAGGUGAUCCCCACACUGGUACUGAGACACGGACCAGACUCCUACGGGAGGCAGCAGUGAGGAAUAUUGGACAAUGGGUGCAAGCCUGAUCCAGCCAU